CCCUUAGAUGUUCUGGGCCGCACGCGCGCUACACUGACGAAUGCAACGAGCUUAUAACCUUGGCCGAAAGGUCUGGGUAAUCUCCAAAUUUCGUCGUGAUGGGGAUAGAUUAUUGCAAUUAUUAAUCUUCAACGAGGAAUGCCUAGUAAGCGCAGGUCAUCAGCUUGCGUUGAUUACGUCCCUGCCCUUUGUACACACCGCCCGUCGCUCCUACCGAUUGAAUGGUCCGGUGAAGCGCUCGGACCGCGGCCUCUUGACGGUUCGCUGUCGAUUGGCUGUGGGAAGUUCGUUAAACCUUAUCAUUUAGAGGAAGGAGAAGUCGUAACA
rnacentral:rRNA from 1 species